rnacentral:rRNA from 1 species
UACGUAGGGGGCUAGCGUUGUCCGGAAUCAUUGGGCGUAAAGAGCGUGUAGGCGGCUCGGUAAGUCCGCUGUGAAAGUCGAAGGCUCAACCUUUGAAUGUCAGUGGAUACUGUCGGGCUAGAGUCCGGAAGAGGCGAGUGGAACUCCUGGUGUAGCGGUGGAAUGCGCAGAUAUCAGGAAGAACACCAACGGCGAAGGCAGCUCGCUGGGACGGUACUGACGCUGAGACGCGAAAGCGUGGGGAGCGAACAGG